UACGGGGGGAGCAAGCGUUGUUCGGAUUUACUGGGCGUAAAGGGAGCGUAGGCGGGCUUCUAAGUUAGGUGUUUAAUCCCAGGGCCCAACCCUGGUCAGGCACCUAAAACUGGGAGUCUUGAAUAGUGGAGAGGACGAUGGAAUUGGGGGUGUAGCGGUGGAAUGCGUAGAGAUCCCCAAGAACACCAGUUGCGAAGGCGGUCGUCUGGACACAUAUUGACGCUGAGGCUCGAAAGCAUGGGGAGCAAACAGG
rnacentral:rRNA from 1 species